rnacentral:rRNA from 1 species
UACGGGGGGAACGAGCAUUAUUCGGAAUGAUUAGGCGUAAAGCGUUUGGAGAUGGUUUUUUAAGUUAAAUUGUAAAAAAUAAAGCUUAACUUUAUAGCACAAUUUAAUACUGAAAAACUUGAGUAUACAUAGAGGAUAAUGGAAUUUCUAUUGGAGGGAUAAAAUAUUAUGAUAAUAGAAGGAAGGACGAAUGCGAAGGCAAUUAUCUGGGUAUAUACUGACAUUAAGAAACGAAAGCUUGGGUAGCGAACGGG